rnacentral:rRNA from 1 species
UACAGAGACCUCAAGCGUUAUCCGGAAUCAUUGGGCGUAAAGCGUACCGAUAGGUGGUUUUACAAGUCAGCAGUGAAAUCUCUCAGCUUAACUGGGAGACUGUCUUUUGAAACUGUAAAACUAGAGGGGCAAAGAGGAAGCUGGAACGAACGGUGUAGUAGUGAAAUGCGUUGAUAUCGUUCGGAACACCAAUAGCGUAGGCAGGCUUCUGGGUGCCACCUGACACUGCUAGGACGAAAGCGUGGGGAGCGAAUGGG